rnacentral:misc_RNA from 1 species
GAUGAAGAACGUAGCGAAAUGCGAUACGUAAUGUGAAUUGCAGAAUUCAGUGAAUCAUCGAAUCUUUGAACGCAUAUUGCGCUCUCUGGUAUUCCGGAGAGCAUGCUUGUUUGAGUAUCAGUAAACACCUCAACUCCCUUUUCUUUUUUGAAAUUGGAGCUGGACUUGAGUGAUCCCAACGCUUUCUUCCAAGAAAGUGGCGGGUUGCUUGAAAUGCAGGUGCAGCUGAACUUUUCUCUGAGCUAUAAGCAUAUCUAUUUAGUCUGCCUAAAAAACAGAUUAUUACCUUUGCUGCAGCUAACAUAAAGGAGACUAGUUCUUGUGCUGACUGAUGCAGGAUUCACAGAGACAGCUUCGGCUGACUUUGUAAACUCGAUCUCAAAUCAAGUAAGACUACCCGCUGAACUUACGCAUAUCAAUAAGCGGAGGA